CAGCCCGGUAAUUCCAGCUCCAAUAGCGUAUAUUAAAGUUGUUGCAGUUAAAAAGCUCGUAGUUGAAUUUCGGGAUCGACGGGUCGGUCGCGCCUCUGGUGUGUACUGGCCCUGUCGGUUUCUCCCUUCUGACGAACCACGAUGUCAUUAAUUUGGUGUCGUGGGAAAUCAGGACUGUUACUUUGAAAAAAUUAGAGUGUUUAAAGCAGGCAUUCGCUUGAAUACAUUAGCAUGGAAUAAUGAAAUAGGACGUUUGAUCUUAUUUUGUUGGUUUCUAAGAUCGACGUAAUGAUUAAUAGGGAUAGUUGGGGGCAUUAGUAUUCAAUUGUCAGAGGUGAAAUUCUUGGAUUUAUUGAAGACUAACUACUGCGAAAGCAUUUGCCAAGGAUGUUUUCAUUAAUCAAGAACGAAAGUUAGGGGAUCGAAGACGAUCAGAUACCGUCGUAGUCUUAACCAUAAACUAUGCCGACUAGGGAUCGGAUGAUGUUAAUUUUUUAAUGACUCAUUCGGCGCCUUACG
rnacentral:misc_RNA from 1 species